UCGACAUGGUAAGAGAGGACUCACGAGGCUAUCCUGACCCCUCCCACCGUGGGCACUGAGCUCUGCCCAGCGUCGUGGCCCAGCUCCUGUGUUGGACCCACACUAUGCAAGCAGCGAAUAGCCAGAGGUCUGGACUGGAGCAGCCAGCACACUGUAAGACGGGAGCCAUGGGCCCUGUUCUGCUGACUCUGUGGCAUGCGUCCCGAUCAAGUUGCUCAAGCCCUGAGAUUCAGCGCCUUCACCUAUGCUCUGGAACUGAGAAUACCUUAUCCCUGACCCUGUGGCUGAAGAGUGAGUCACCAGUCCCUGAGGUCAUUUUGGCUCCAACUCAAAGUAAACAGGGCAUUGAGCAGCGUAUCAGGCAGGUCCAUUUCACCCAGCAGAUGAGGCCCAGAGGCAGGAGCAGCAGCCUAGCCUCAGCUCCCUGUUAACCUUCCAGCCCUCUGAUUUCCCAUCUCUGAGACACCUGUGGAGCCUGAUUCCCCCACCACCGUGCAUGAGGGACAUCUUGCUAGGAGGCCAGGUUUCUGUACCCUCUGUCAGAACCCGUAGGCCUCCUGCCCUGAAGAGGCCCUGUCAUGCACCCAACUUCUGUUGGCAGGAGCAUCUUUCCCAGCAUUGGAACCCCUUGAAGGUUCACAGGACCCACACGUCACAGAAGGGUACAACCAGUUCCCAGGAUCCCCACAGGACAACUGAACAAAAGGCCAAGAUUGUCCUGGAAGUAACCUGUUGACCCGAAACCAGCAUUCUGUUGGCUUCUCUUUGACGUGAGGGUUUAUGGGAAUCUCUGUCUCUUAACGCACAUCUUCAGCACUGCUGAAGGCCUUUGCCAUGGGAACUUCCACUUCCCACACCCAUUGUGAGGUAGGCCUCAGCCUCCAGAAUGUAGCCAUUCAGGAAAGCAAAACGCAGCUCCAAGAAAUCGGGAGAGCACAGUUGUCCCCAGCUGUCGCCUUGCCCCUCCUCCUGCUGAUGCUGUUUGUGCCAUGGGGCGUCUAGCGAUGUGGGAUCCCAGCAGGGGAGCUUCUCACUGCUGCUGGGUGGUCCUGACACCCACCCCAGUCCAAAACAAAUGGAGGCCAAAAUGACCUGUGACUACCCAAUAAAACACCACGUGUGCUCAUUAGCCGCACCA